UAGGGAGGCGUGGACGCAGUGGCGCAAGGCUGACCCUUGGGCAGGCAAUGGGGUGGGUGAAGCGCUGUGCGAUACGUUAUUUGAACCCUGUAUUUGGCUGUAGUCGCUGGUUUUGCCGACUCAGGAUCUCUUGAGGAUGUCUUGGCUCCGAGUCCCAGCUUGCGUAGACUCUGAUAGGGUGGUGAAGGCUGCGCAGACUUGAGAGGUUUGGUCAGAGAGCCUAGAAUUGAAAUGGAAACCUCCCCCAUCUGUCAUGGCCAAGGUCUUAGAGAAUCUGGGGGGCGAAGGGAGUUGGGAGCUGGGAGGUCCAGGUUGUUCUUAUCCUCAGAGGUUGGCCAGUCCUGGGGAACUUAGUGCCAGGGACCACCAUAGGGAUAUUCUGCUGCUUUAUCAAACACACGAAGACAUUAAGAGAUGGAACUGUGAUUGUGGGAAAGGAGAGGGUAGGAGGAAGUCGCAAGUGGCUCCUGGAAAAUCUGAGAAGUACCUGACCUGUGGAUUUGUGCCCAGGGCAUUUUAUUUUAUUAUUUUAUGUGUCCCAGUCAUGACUCAAAAUGAAGUCCUGCCCGCCCGUGACUCAGAGCCCAGUUUCCGUCACAACUGGUUCUGUUAUCACAACUUGAAAUACUGACCAACAGCAAGACACGAAAACUGCUCCUAGACUAUGAUAGCAAAAGCCAAACGUUAUAAAUGUACAUCAUUUUGUAAAAGACUGAAAUGCUGUUGGUUGGGAAUAUUAGUCCUAGCAGUGUGUUUAUUUGGACAGAAUCUUCUCACAGCAAAGCAAGCUGAGGUCCCCUGGAGCAGAUCAUACAGACAUGGUUUCUAUGCUGGGUUUGUUGAUACUGGUGGUAUUUGGCAGAGACCGAAUACCUGGCUUGUAGAAGACAUCAUACCUCACACUCAUCCUGCUCUCACACGUGGAAGGUACACCAUCCUGACCGGUGACUGUGCCUUCUGCCUGCCUGAAGAUAAGGUGGCCACAGGACCAACAGGGACUAUUGGUGACCAGUGCACCCUUGUGCACUGGGAUUAGGGAUUGGCCCUAAUUUGGUUAUUUCAGGCAAAGGUGUAACCAUAAACCUCACCCUGAAUCUAGAAAUUAAGGUUUCCUGAGCAAUUCUUGGAAGGCAGUUCCUGGCAGCACUUAAACCCCCAAGGAAGCAAAGAGAAGCCUGAAACAAAAUCCAGAUGCCUUGCAUGGGACACUCACUUUGUUGUGGAGGUCAGUGCUGCCAAAGAAAAAUGACUUCUCAGGCUUGCCAUGUCUCGUUCCAAAUGGGUGUCCUCAGAAAAGUAAACUUGGUGCCACAAAGAUUAAUGCGCUAUGAAGUAAGAAUAUCCAGGCAUCUUGGAACGUCUGUGUGCCCAUGGGGUGGGAAUGCCUGGUGAGCCCACUUGCUAUGUUGUCCUGAGGGGUCCGGCCACAGCGCUGCCUGAGCAGGGGUGGGUAGGUGGACCUGGGCACCACAGUCCAUGUCCAAGCUCCUUUUGGGUCCCCAUUUGUGUGGCACCCUCUGCACUGGGUUUGGGUAUUUCUGAAUCAGCAUUCCUGAAGAGGUUCUCUAAUUAAACAUGUUAGAAAUCGACAGAAGGAACUGGAGGGAGGGGUGGGGAUGAGAGGACAGAAAGAGAGGAAAGAGAGAGGAAACUAAGACUGGUGGAAUAUCUACUACGCAUCAGACACCUUAU
ensembl:lncRNA